GACCUCCUAGGAUCGCAUCUGGAGAAUAGCUAGUAUUCUGCCAGCUUCAGAGAUGGGAGGGAAAACAAGCCUGUCAGAGAGACCCACUCAAUUCCCAGUUUGCUCAGUAGCUGGUGAUUGGAAGAGACUGCGACCGUG